UCUGUGAGCUGGAUCCCAUCCAGUGAUUGACACAGACCACUCACCAUGGAGCUGGGGCUGUGCUGGGUUUUCCUGGUUGCUAUUUUAAAAGGUGUCCAGUGUGAGGUGCAGCUGGUGGAGUCUGGGGGAGGCUUGGUGCAGCCUGGGGGGUCCCUGAGACUCUCCUGUGCCGCCUCCGGAUUCACCUUCAGUAAUUACUACAUGAGCUGGAUCCGCCAGCCUCCAGGGAAGAGGCCUGAGUGGCUCUCAUACAUCAGUGGCAGUAGCAGUGACAUAAACUAUGCAGGCUCCGUGAAGGGCCGCUUCACCAUCUCCAGAGACAACAGCAAGAACACACUUUACCUGCAGAUGAACAGCCUGAGAGAGGAGGACACGGCCCUCUAUUACUGUGCUAGAGACACAGUGCAGGAAAUCCAGUGUGGGCCCAGACACGAACCUCCCUGCAGGGCCGCUCAGGACCAGCAGGGGGCGCGCGGCACAGCUUGCAGCCGGGUCAGCCUGGGGAGCAGCUGCAGACAGGAGCCCAGGGCUGGUCUCCUGGUGUCUGAGCUGCCUCUGUGCCCAGCAGCUUUGACAGAAUUCCUCCCUGAGUUUAUGACCUGCACUCCUCCGUGA